GGGUCUACUCGCCAGCGAAUUCAUGGAGGGAUGAAAAUCCUAUUCCUCGGAAUGCUCUUCUGUGUGGCCGAGCAGCAGGCCGUCGAACCAGGCCUCUCUGAUCAAGUAUGUCUACAGAGUUCCCGUCACGAUGGGGUGACAGAUUCUCACUAGUUAAGAUGGUUGCCACGAGCUCAACUUGAGCUGCGAUUUUUAUUCGGACUAAUAUCCAAUUAUUCUCUUCUAUCCUUAUUUUUGCCUCUCAAUUUAGCAACUGUGAGCAUUUCUGAGCCUAUGAUUCUAGUUCCCUACUUUUGUG
rnacentral:misc_RNA from 1 species